rnacentral:tRNA from 1 species
GCUCCCAUAGCUCAGUGGUAGAGCACCGUCUUGAUAAGGCGAUAAUCUAGGUUCGAUUCCUGGUGGGAGCA